GACGAACGCUGGCGGCGUGCCUAAUACAUGCAAGUUGAGCGAUGAAGCUUGGUGCUUGCACCAAUUUGAAGAGCAGCGAACGGGUGAGUAACGCGUGGGGAAUCUGCCUUUGAGCGGGGGACAACAUUUGGAAACGAAUGCUAAUACCGCAUAACAACUUUAAACAUAAGUUUUAAGUUUGAAAGAUGCAAUUGCAUCACUCAAAGAUGAUCCCGCGUUGUAUUAGCUAGUUGGUGAGGUAAAGGCUCACCAAGGUGAUGAUACAUAGCCGACCUGAGAGGGUGAUCGGCCACAUUGGGACUGAGACACGGCCCAAACUCCUACGGGAGGCAGCAGUAGGGAAUCUUCGGCAAUGGACGAAAGUCUGACCGAGCAACGCCGCGUGAGUGAAGAAGGUUUUCGGAUCGUAAAACUCUGUUGGUAGAGAAGAACGUUGGUGAGAGUGGAAAGCUCAUCAAGUGACGGUAACUACCCAGAAAGGGACGGCUAACUACGUG
rnacentral:rRNA from 1 species